UACGGAGGGUGCAAGCGUUAUCCGGAUUUAUUGGGUUUAAAGGGUCCGUAGGCGGACAAUUAAGUCAGUGGUGAAAUCCAACAGCUCAACUGUUGAACUGCCAUUGAUACUGAUUGUCUUGAGUAUGUUAGAUGUUGGCGGAAUAGGUCAUGUAGCGGUGAAAUGCUUAGAUAUGACCUAGAACACCGAUUGCGAAGGCAGCCAACAAUGCCAUUACUGACGCUGAGGGACGAAAGCGUGGGGAGCGAACAGG
rnacentral:rRNA from 1 species